rnacentral:sRNA from 21 species
GUCAACAACCCACCGUUAAAUCGGAGUACCGAUUAUAACGGGGGCUGGUAAGAUAGCCCGAGUUGACCCGACUCAGGCAGGAAUGCCUACGUUAGUGGCAAGUGUUUAAGUUCUUACCUACGGAUGCGUAGCUAGUCUGUAGCUCUAAA